UAGGGAAUCUUCCGCAAUGGGCGAAAGCCUGACGGAGCAACGCCGCGUGAGUGAAGAAGGAUUUCGGUUCGUAAAGCUCUGUUGUUAGGGAAGAAUGAUUGUAUAGUAACUAUAUACAGUAGAGACGGUACCUAACCAGAAAGCCACGGCUAACUACGUGCCAGCAGCCGCGGUAAUACGUAGGUGGCAAGCGUUGUCCGGAAUUAUUGGGCGUAAAGCGCGCGCAGGUGGUUUAAUAAGUCUGAUGUGAAAGCCCACGGCUCAACCGUGGAGGGUCAUUGGAAACUGUUAAACUUGAGUGCAGGAGAGAAAAGUGGAAUUCCUAGUGUAGCGAUGAAAUGCGUAGAGAUUAGGAGGAACACCAGUGGCGAAGGCGGCUUUUUGGCCUGUAACUGACACUGAGGCGCGAAAGCGUGGGGAGCAAACAGGAUUAGAUACCCUGGUAGUCCACGCCGUAAACGAUGAGUGCUAAGUGUUGGUCUCAUAAGAGAUCAGUGCUGCAGCUAACGCAUUAAGCACUCCGCCUGGGGAGUACGACCGCAAGGUUG
rnacentral:rRNA from 1 species